AGGGCCCCAGGAUCCUCUAUUAAAUGUGUGGUCCAUGAACCAGCAGCUUCAGCAUGACCUGAGAGCUCAUAACCUCGUCUCUACAAAAAAUACAAAAAAAGUUAGCCAGGCAUGGUGGUACACGCCUAUGGUCUCAGCAACUUGGGAGGCUGAGAUUCAUAGCAAGUGAAACAUUCCAGAUGUUAAAAGCGUGGACAGUGAGGUCCAUGGACCGGCAGGAUCAGCAGCCCCAGAAGCUCCUUGGACCUGCAAGACCCUCCGGCCCCACCACAGCCCUACUGAACCAGGAUCAGACUUUAAAAAAGAAUCCAAUGCCAGUUUGAGAAGCCCAACUCAAAAAUCUAGACCAACAACCUGGUCUACCUUCCUGGCCAAGUCUCGCCACAUGGCAUCAUUUCCUCCUCACCUGCAGAAUCGCUGUGACUUAUGGCUCCUCUGAUUGCACCUGCUUUCACCAGCAGCCCUGGAAGAGAGCUCUUCUGUGUGGAUAAGAGUUGAGAGAUCUUGGUUUCAUUACUUGUUUAAAUUGGACCCUCUCAAAUGAAUGUAAGCACAUAAUGGGGGGACUACACUAUGAGAUUAAAAGGAAUCCAGCUGUUACCAGAAAUGGGUGCCUGCCAGGUUUAUCCACCAAAUUCUUUCCACUUCAUGUCAUUAAAAUAAAAUUUGAGUUUUAAAAUGAAAAUUUCUCAGAUU
rnacentral:lncRNA from 1 species